CGCGGGGUGGAGCAGCCCGGUAGCUCGUCAGGCUCAUAACUGAAGGUCGUAGGUUCAAAUCCUACCCCCGCAA
rnacentral:tRNA from 1 species